UUGCUUAUAAGUUAUAACUUAUAAUAAAAUUGACAAAUGUAAUAUUAUCGUACUUAUAGGUAUCGUUAUAGACACAUCCUGUAAGUGACUGCACAGUAUUGUUUAUGCACUGAAAUAGUAAAUUGCAAACUAAUCUAUUUAAAAAUCGAUUUACAUGAAAUACGCUAUAAAUUUGACAACGCAAUUUUAUUACUAAUUAAAAAUAAACGUAAUGACAAUAACUUUUUUUCAAUAAUGAUGAAUAUUGUGAACGAAUUGGAGAAAUAAAAAAAUUUAAAAUUACGUUAUUCUUGUUAUUAAUGGUAAAGACCAUCUUAUUAAAACUAUAAUUAAAGUAACAAAGGGUGUGCGUUAUUGUUUUGUAAUAAAUGAAGAGUCGUUUAAUAUUAUUCAUAUUGCACAUACAGCAAUCGACACUGAGGCCGAGAACGUAUGAUGGCUGAACUUAAAUUAAAAUAAGUGAAUGUGACAGAAGAAACAAUAAUGGUUUAUUUAAGUUUAUGUUCUAAAUGUUAUUAAAAAUCUUCAAACCCAAAAAAGGAGCUUGUACCAAAACCUAUUUUACAUUCAGCGUAUAAUGUGUUCAAUUGGAUUUAAUAGAUAUGCAAUUAAAGAGUGUAAAUGAUUUCCGAUUUAAAAUGAAUUACCAUGACCACUUCACCAAGUUCAUUGUACUUAAUCAAUUGAAUACAAAAUGUGCUGAAGAAGUUUUACAUAAUUUAAUAAUAUCUAUACAAUAUUUAUAGUAUUAGUCAUACUGCACUGGUACAACGGAAGAGAGUAUUUUAGUAUAUCUAUAAACAAAUUUUAUGUCAUGUGGGGUGAUAUAAAAAUUGUUCAUGGGAAAUCUCGACAUAGAGAUAGGGCUCUGUUGAACAUACCAUCCGAGAUGUAGAGGAUAAUGCUGCCUUCAUGAAUGGCUGAGAACAUAAGUGUAGUGAUUGGCCGUCCGGAUUAAAAUUUAUACAAUUCCGAAAAUGUUGUGCUUUUCAUUUAGGUAUUGGAAGAUUUCCGUAUGGCAAUGUUUGGAGGUUCAACUCAAUUAGUUGUAGCGUCAACAGGUUUAUCUAUAUGGAUGAAAUAGAUUUGCUUAUAAUCUGAAGAUAUCAAGAUUAUUUUACAAGUUAAAAAAAGGACCGGGCACUAUCAAUAUUUAGCAUGAAACAAUAAAAUUAAUUUAUAUUUUGAUUUAAAUAUUUUAUAUUAAUUAUUUGAUAGUUAAUCAACGACUGUAGACAAUUCACUACAAACGUCAUUAUCUGUAAAAUGUUUAGAGAAAUAAGCCAAACAAACAGUUAAAACAUCAAAUUCAAAAUACCUGAAACUUGAAGUAGGAACUUUGGUGCGUAUCUCUAUUUCUGAUGAAAACCAAGCUCGUAUUUCUCCACAUCAUGUAUUAGCAGUUGUAACUGAAGUUUAUUUGUAUAGGUACAGAAAAUAGAUUUAUGGAAUAUAAGUAUACCCAGACAAAAAUGAAUCUAUGCAAGGAGAAACUUCUUGAUCUUGAAACGGUUGUAAAUAACUUUCCGGGAAGCAGCUGCCUUUAACAGUAUUUCUGAAUCACAAGGUUUUACAAGAUGCCACUGUAAAACACAAUGUAAAGUCAAUAAAUUUGCUAGCCGCGCAUGGUGCAUAAUACACUAGAUUAUGUAAUUUUAAAUUUCACAGUAGUUUACCAUGUAACAAUA